UACGAAGGGGGCUAGCGUUGUUCGGAAUCACUGGGCGUAAAGCGCACGUAGGCGGAUCGCUAAGUCAGGGGUGAAAUCCCGAGGCUCAACCUCGGAAUUGCCUUUGAUACUGGCAAUCUGGAGUUCGGGAGAGGUGAGUGGAAUUCCGAGUGUAGAGGUGAAAUUCGUAGAUAUUCGGAGGAACACCAGAAGCGAAGGCGGCUCACUGGUCCGGUACUGACGCUGAGGUGCGAAAGCGUGGGGAUCAAACAGG
rnacentral:rRNA from 1 species